rnacentral:rRNA from 1 species
UACAGAGGUCUCAAGCGUUGUCCGGAAUUAUUGGGCGUAAAGAGCUCGUAGGCGGUCUGUCGCGUCGGUCGUGAAAACUUGGGGCUUAACCCUGAGCUUGCGGUCGAUACGGGCAUGACUGGAGUUCGGCAGGGGAGACUGGAAUUCCUGGUGUAGCGGUGAAAUGCGCAGAUAUCAGGAGGAACACCGGUGGCGAAGGCGGGUCUCGUGGGCCGAUGACUGACGCUGAGGAGCGAAAGCGUGGGGAGCGAACAGG